GCCGAAGUGGUGAAACUGGCAAACACGCGGCGUUCAGGGCGCCGUGAGCUUAUGCUCUUGGGGGUUCGACUCCCCCCUUCGGCACCA
rnacentral:tRNA from 1 species